ACUGGCAAGCUUGAGUCUCGUAGAGGGGGGUAGAAUUCCAGGUGUAGCGGUGAAAAUGCGUAGAGAUCUGGAGGAAUACCGGGUGGCGAAGGCGGCCCCCUGGACGAAGACUGACGCUCAGGUGCGAAAAGCGUGGGGAGCAAAACAGGAUUAGAUACCCUGGUAGUCCACGCCGUAAACGAUGUCGACUUGGGAGGUUGUGCCCUUGAGGCGUGGCUUCCGGAGCUAACGCGUUAAGUCGACCGCCUGGGGAGUACGGCCGCAAGGUUAAAACUCAAAUGAAUUGACGGGGGCCCGCACAAGCGGUGGAGCAUGUGGUUUAAUUCGAUGCAACGCGAAGAACCUUACCUGGUCUUGACAUCCACAGAAGUUUUCAGAGAUGAGAAUGUGCCUUCGGGAACUGUGAGACAGGUGCUGCAUGGCUGUCGUCAGCUCGUGUUGUGAAAUGUUGGGUUAAGUCCCGCAACGAGCGCAACCCUUAUCCUUUGUUGCCAGCGGUCCGGCCGGGAACUCAAAGGAGACUGCCAGUGAUAAACUGGAGGAAGGUGGGGAUGACGUCAAGUCAUCAUGGCCCUUACGACCAGGGCUACACACGUGCUACAAUGGCGCAUACAAAGAGAAGCGACCUCGCGAGAGCAAGCGGACCUCAUAAAGUGCGUCGUAGUCCGGAUUGGAGUCUGCAACUCGACUCCAUGAAGUCGGAAUCGCUAGUAAUCGUGGAUCAGAAUGCCACGGUGAAUACGUUCCCGGGCCUUGUACACACCGCCCGUCACACCAUGGGAGUGGGUGCAAAAGAAGUUGAGAGUUGAUCCUGGCUCAGAUGA
rnacentral:rRNA from 1 species